AAUUGAAGAGUUUGAUCAUGGCUCAGAUUGAACGCUGGCGGCAGGCCUAACACAUGCAAGUCGAACGGUAACAGGAAGCAGCUUGCUGCUUUGCUGACGAGUGGCGGACGGGUGAGUAAUGUCUGGGAAACUGCCUGAUGGAGGGGGAUAACUACUGGAAACGGUGGCUAAUACCGCAUAACGUCGCAAGACCAAAGAGGGGGACCUUCGGGCCUCUUGCCAUCAGAUGUGCCCAGAUGGGAUUAGCUUGUUGGUGAGGUAACGGCUCACCAAGGCGACGAUCCCUAGCUGGUCUGAGAGGAUGACCAGCCACACUGGAACUGAGACACGGUCCAGACUCCUACGGGAGGCAGCAGUGGGGAAUAUUGCACAAUGGGCGCAAGCCUGAUGCAGCCAUGCCGCGUGUAUGAAGAAGGCCUUCGGGUUGUAAAGUACUUUCAGCGGGGAGGAAGGUGUUGUGGUUAAUAACCACAGCAAUUGACGUUACCCGCAGAAGAAGCACCGGCUAACUCCGUGCCAGCAGCCGCGGUAAUACGGAGGGUGCAAGCGUUAAUCGGAAUUACUGGGCGUAAAGCGCACGCAGGCGGUCUGUCAAGUCGGAUGUGAAAUCCCCGGGCUCAACCUGGGAACUGCAUUCGAAACUGGCAGGCUUGAGUCUUGUAGAGGGGGG
rnacentral:rRNA from 1 species